UACGGAGGGUGCGAGCGUUGUCCGGAAUCAUUGGGCGUAAAGGGCUCGUAGGCGGCCAACUAAGUCAGACGUGAAAUCCCUCGGCUUAACCGGGGAACUGCGUCUGAUACUGGAUGGCUUGAGGUUGGGAGAGGGAUGCGGAAUUCCAGGUGUAGCGGUGAAAUGCGUAGAUAUCUGGAGGAACACCGGUGGCGAAGGCGGCAUCCUGGACCAAUUCUGACGCUGAGUGAGCGAAAGCCAGGGGAGCAAACGGG
rnacentral:rRNA from 1 species